UACAUUCCCAUGCAUAAUAAUAAUAAUAAUAAUAAUAAUUAUUAUUAUUAUUAUUAUUAAAAGAAGAAGAUAAAAUGGAAGGUGUUCCUAUCACUUUAAAUUUUAUUGGAAAAAUCACCAAUUUAUUAUCAUCACCCUUCUCCACUUUGUUAUCAUCACCCCUCUCCACCAGCAGGCAGCAGCUCUGUGCUUAGUCUACUUUCUUUUUCUUUAAACAAAUUUCAGGUAUUCAUUCGAAUUUGCCCAAUACUCUCUAUUUUUCCCCAUCUUCUUUCUUAUUUUUCUGUAAAUUUGUAUACAUACUGGGUUGAAUGCGAUGUUUAAGUAAAUUCUUGCAAAUUUUCCUCGUCAAUUUGCUGUCUGAUGCUAAAUUAUGCAAUUGUUUUGACAUCCUGCCUUAAUUUUAAGUAUACAUGAUCCAUUAAGUUUAUAAUUAGGAAACUCACAACAUCCCACCACAAUAGGAGAAUUAAGUUUACUGUCCUGUUUUAGUUAGGUUUUUCAAAAUAAAAAUAAAAAUAAAAAAUUCGCACCUCCCUCCCUUUCAUUGUUCCCUAUACAAAGGAGGAUACGGAGAUAAUAGUAACUGAACUCACUUGAUUGUUGACAUCUUUAAUGUUUGCCGAUAUGGCAUAUUGAAUGCCAUCAAGAUUUCCUUUUUGUUUUACUUAAAUGUUAAUAUUUUCAUGAUCUUCUUCUUGACAUUAAUACUCCUACCACACAAGUUUUUAGAUAAAAGUAGUCCUUAGCACUGAACUAUCUAGCUAUCCCUCUAUUUGUUGUUUGUGUAUUUAUAAUUUCCCUCCCUUUCGUUUAAGGAGCGAAUUCUAGAAGCUAGUUUAACAAAGUGAUCAAGGGGAAAUCUUAAAGCUCAAACUAUCACUAUUUAAGAAUAGUGGUAUGGAGGUUGUCCGGCAAUUUACUAGACACAUGUAAUGUUAUCACAUACAAGCAAAAGAUUGCGAUAGAAUGGCCACCACUGCUGUUAUUGGACUUAGUGCAGGAAAUAGGCUUUUGAGUUCCUCCUAUUACUCUGAUCUUACAGAGAAGCUGUCUAGUAGCUGUGAUUUUGGN
rnacentral:lncRNA from 1 species